AGAGUUUGAUCCUGGCUCAGGAUGAACGCUGGCGGCGUGCCUAACACAUGCAAGUCAAGGAGAAGGUAACCUUCGGGGAACCGGAUACUGGCGCACGGGUGAGUAACACGUGGAUAAUCUGCCCUUUACACAGACAUAACUCAGGGAAACUUGAGCUAAUAUCUGAUGAGGCCUCCGGGUCAAAGCUUCGGCGGUAAAGGAUGAGUCUGCGUCUGAUUAGCUAGUUGGUAAGGUAAUGGCUUACCAAGGCGACGAUCAGUAACUGGUCUGAGAGGACGAUCAGUCACACUGGAACUGAGACACGGUCCAGACUCCUACGGGAGGCAGCAGUGAGGAAUUUUGGACAAUGGGGGAAACCCUGAUCCAGCGACGCCGCGUGUGGGAUGAAUGGGUUAUGCCCUGUAAACCACUGUCAGCAGAGAAGAAAAGGUUCCUUUGGAACCCGGGACUGUAUCUGCAGAGGAAGGACCGGCUAACUACGUGCCAGCAGCCGCGGUAAUA
rnacentral:rRNA from 1 species